rnacentral:rRNA from 1 species
ACAUGACUCUCGGCAACGGAUAUCUCGGCUCUCGCAUCGAUGAAGAACGUAGCGAAAUGCGAUACCUGGUGUGAAUUGCAGAAUCCCGCGAACCAUCGAGUCUUUGAACGC